rnacentral:tRNA from 1 species
GCGCGAGUGGCGGAAUUGGCAGACGCGCCAGAUUUAGGAUCUGGUGCCUUAGGGCGUGGAGGUUCAAGUCCUCUCUCGCGUACCA